CCUACGGGCGGCAGCAGUAGGGAAUAUUGCUCAAUGGGGGAAACCCUGAAGCAGCAACGCCGCGUGGAGGAUGAAGGUUUUCGGAUUGUAAACCUCUUUUGCCGGGGAGCAACGGGGUCCUUGCGAGGGCCCGAUGAGAGUACCCGGAGAAAAAGCAUCGGCUAACUCCGUGCCAGCAGCCGCGGUAAUACGGAGGAUGCGAGCGUUAUCCGGAUUUAUUGGGUUUAAGGGGUGCGUAGGCGGGCUGUUAAGUCAGCGGUCAAAUGUCGGGGCUCAACCCCGGCCUGCCGUUGAAACUGGCGGCCUCGAGUGGGCGAGAAGUAUGCGGAAUGCGUGGUGUAGCGGUGAAAUGCAUAGAUAUCACGCAGAACUCCGAUUGCGAAGGCAGCAUACCGGCGCCCUACUGACGCUGAGGCACGAAAGCGUGGGUAUCGAACAGGAUUAGAUACCCUUGUAGUC
rnacentral:rRNA from 1 species